UACGAAGGGGGCUAGCGUUGUUCGGAAUUACUGGGCGUAAAGCGCACGUAGGCGGAUAUUUAAGUCAGGGGUGAAAUCCCAGAGCUCAACUCUGGAACUGCCUUUGAUACUGGGUAUCUCGAGUAUGGAAGAGGUGAGUGGAAUUCCGAGUGUAGAGGUGAAAUUCGUAGAUAUUCGGAGGAACACCAGUGGCGAAGGCGGCUCACUGGUCCAUUACUGACGCUGAGGUGCGAAAGCGUGGGGAGCAAGCAGG
rnacentral:rRNA from 1 species